AGAGUUUGAUCAUGGCUCAGGAUGAACGCUAGCUACAGGCUUAACACAUGCAAGUCGAGGGGAAACGACAUCGAAAGCUUGCUUUUGAUGGGCGUCGACCGGCGCACGGGUGAGUAACGCGUAUCCAACCUGCCCACCACUUGGGGAUAACCUUGCGAAAGUAAGACUAAUACCCAAUGACGUCUCUAGAAGACAUCUGAAAGAGAUUAAAAGAUUUAUCGGUGAUGGAUGGGGAUGCGUCUGAUUAGCUUGUUGGCGGGGUAACGGCCACCGAAGGCGACGAUCAGUAGGGGUUCUGAGAGGAAGGUCCCCCANAUUGGAACUGAGACACGGUCCAAACUCCGUACGGGAGGCA
rnacentral:rRNA from 1 species